GUGGGGAAUAUUGGACAAUGGGGGGAACCCUGAUCCAGCCAUGCCGCGUGUGUGAAGAAGGCCUUUUGGUUGUAAAGCACUUUAAGCGAGGAGGAGGCUACCGAGAUUAAUACUCUUGGAUAGUGGACGUUACUCGCAGAAUAAGCACCGGCUAACUCUGUGCCAGCAGCCGCGGUAAUACAGAGGGUGCAAGCGUUAAUCGGAUUUACUGGGCGUAAAGCGCGCGUAGGUGGCCGAUUAAGUCAAAUGUGGAAUCCCCGAGCUUAACUUGGGAAUUGCAUUCGAUACUGGUUGGCUAGAGUAUGGGAGAGGAUGGUAGAAUUCCAGGUGUAGCGGUGAAAUGCGUAGAGAUCUGGAGGAAUACCGAUGGCGAAGGCAGCCAUCUGGCCUAAUACUGACACUGAGGUGCGAAAGCAUGGGGAGCAAACAGGAUUAGAAACCCCGGUAGUCC
rnacentral:rRNA from 1 species